rnacentral:rRNA from 1 species
UACAGAGGGUGCGAGCGUUGUCCGGAAUUACUGGGCGUAAAGGGCGCGUAGGCGGCUUGGUAAGUCGGGGGUGAAAGUCAGCGGCUCAACCGCUGGACUGCCUUCGAGACUGCCUGGCUUGAGCAUGGUAGAGGCUGGCGGAAUUCCCGGUGUAGCGGUGGAAUGCGUAGAGAUCGGGAAGAACAUCGGUGGCGAAGGGCGGCCAGCUGGGCCAUUGCUGACGCUGAUGCGCGAA